GCCCCCGUAAUUGUCGGAGGUGUGACCUGCCCAAUGAUUUUAGACUUAGAAUAAACCUCUAAUAAUAAAUUUAAAGGACGCGGUAUCUUGACCGUGAUAAUGUAGCAUAAUCACUUGCCAUUUAAUUGAUGGAUUGUAUGAAUGGUUCGACGAAUAUUCCACUGUCUUUGCAGGAGAUCUCUUUAAAUUGAACUAACAGUUAAGAUGCUGUUUAAGCUUAUAAGACGAAAAGACCCUAUAGAGCUUAACCAUAGUCUUCUUUAUUAUAAAAACAAAGAAAUGAAAACAAGGGAGAUUGGUGGUUUGGUUGGGGCGACCGCCUUUUAUAAAAAACAAAGGCAAGCAAAGUUAAUCCUAAACUUAUUGUAAAGAAAACACUCUUAACAAUUAUAAAUAUAGGUGAUAAUGACCCGUUGCAAAACCAUAACAUAUGCAACGAUCAAUGAAUAAAAGCUACCUUAGGGAUAACAGGGUAAUCUUCUCCUAGAGAUCUUAUCGAAGAGAAGGUUUGCCACCUCUAUGUUGAAUUAAGGUAUCCUCUUAAUGCAGAAGUUAAGAAAGGUAGGUCUGUUCGACCUAUAAAACCUU
rnacentral:rRNA from 1 species